rnacentral:rRNA from 2 species
GCGAUACCUAGUGUGAAUUGCAGAAUUCCGCGAAUCAUCGAGUUUUUGAACGCAAGUUGCGCCCGAGGCUCGUACCGAGGGCAUGUCUGUCUGAGCGUCCA